rnacentral:rRNA from 1 species
CUACGGGCCGCAGCAGUGAGGAAUAUUGCACAAUGGGGGGAACCCUGAUGCAGCAACGCCGCGUGGAGGAUGACGCAUUUCGGUGUGUAAACUCCUUUUAUAUGUCAAGAAAAUGACGGUAGCAUAUGAAUAAGCACCGGCUAACUCCGUGCCAGCAGCCGCGGUAAUACGGAGGGUGCAAGCGUUACUCGGAAUCACUGGGCGGAAAGGACGCGUAGGCGGGUUGGAAAGUCAGGUGUGAAAUCCUACAGCGUAACUGUAGAACUGCACUUGAAACUUCUAAUCUAGAGUAUGGGAGGGGGAGAUGGAAUUAGUGGUGUAGGGGUAAAAUCUGUAGAUAUCACUAGGAAUACCUAAAGCGAAGGCGAUCUCCUGGAACAUUACUGACGCUAAGGCGUGAAAGCGUGGGGAGCAAACAGGAUUAGAUACCCCAGUAGUC